rnacentral:rRNA from 1 species
CGGCGGACGGGUGAGUAAUGCUUAGGAAUCUGCCUAUUAGUGGGGGACAACAUUCCGAAAGGAAUGCUAAUACCGCAUACGCCCUACGGGGGAAAGCAGGGGAUCUUCGGACCUUGCGCUAAUAGAUGAGCCUAAGUCAGAUUAGCUAGUUGGUGGGGUAAAGGCCUACCAAGGCGACGAUCUGUAGCGGGUCUGAGAGGAUGAUCCGCCACACUGGGACUGAGACACGGCCCAGACUCCUACGGGAGGCAGCAG